CAGGGGGUCCGGCGGGGCCACGGGGACCCAUGGCGCCCUGUGGAGAAAACACAUGCUCAAGCCUCAUUUGUUCCCUAUUGUGAUGAAAGCAGCGUUAAACCUGGAGGAGGUGCAGUUUACUCCCCCAUGAGACAGACCACGUGACCAACCAGGAAUGGACUGGGCCGUGUUCAUGUGACAUGUGACAUCAGGAUACAAGAAGUAGGGAAGAGGAUGGAAUGCAAUCCGUCUUUCAGGAAGAAAGCGAGGCAGAAAGGAAGAAGAAAGGAAAGAAAGCGCCACCUCAUCAUUCCCCUGGUUCAACCUCCAGUAUGAUCGGAUCCUCUGAGCGUCACAAACCAACACGCACAAAUGCAUUCGAACACACUCGUACACACACACACACACACACACACACACACACACACACACAC